GCAGCGGGCCAGGCUCUGGCUGAGCCCGCUGGACUCUUUUUCCCCAUGAUUCUACCCAUGUCUUUUGCGCACUAUUUGUUUCCUCGGCAGGCUUGCCUGCCGAUAGGACUCACCAAAACCUCUUGUAAUUGCAGUCAGCGUCAGUAACAAUGUAAUUAUUACAACUUUCAACAACGGAUCUCUUGGUUCUGGCAUCGAUGAAGAACGCAGCGAAAUGCGAUAAGUAGUGUGAAUUGCAGAAUUCAGUGAAUCAUCGAAUCUUUGAACGCACAUUGCGCCCCUUGGUAUUCCAUGGGGCAUGCCUGUUCGAGCGUCAUUUGUACCCUCAAGCUUUGCUUGGUAUUGGGCGUCUGUUCUCCACUUGGGGGACUCGCCUUAAAACAAUUGGCAGCCGGCAUAUUGGCCUGGAGCGCAGCACAAUUCGCGCCCCUUGCCAUGCUUGUUGGCACCCAUCAAGACCUUUUUAUCAGCUCUUGACCUCGGAUCAGGUAGGGAUACCCGCUGAACUUAAGCAUAUCAAUAAGCGGAGGAA
rnacentral:rRNA from 1 species